UCGAAAGGCGGUCGUCGACUCAUGCGUGUCCCAGUUGGAUCCCUGAAGGAAAACACGCGUGAACCGAGGAAACCCCUCUCAUGGGAUUAUUAGGUCUGCCUGCUGGAUGGCACAACGGGGGGACAGGGACUCUGGUGUGGGCGUGGGACAUAACUCGAGCGGCUGUGCUAAAUCGUCCGUGGUUUGAAUGGCAAGGGAGAUUUGCAAUUCGCUGGCUGAACCCAAAUAUCAAUCCCUCGCCAGGGCGAUAGGACAAGGCUCCGCAAGUUGAAACUCCAUAUUGCGGAUCCGCCCAACCGAAAAUACAUGGUGUUUCUUGGAGGCGCGGUGCUGGCGGAUAUUAUGAAGGUUGGUUGGGUUCUGUUAAGGGGGGAAAUUGGGGGACUAAAGUGAAGGUAAUACUUGCCCUGGGUCUUCAAAAGCACUUGUACUUUAGGCUGUACGAUGCAUAGCCAGGUUUGAUGCUCGCCCUGCAAAGACUGCGGAGUCUAGACAUGCCAUAAGAGUGCAGU
rnacentral:lncRNA from 1 species